GAUGAACGCUAGCGGGAGGCCUAACACAUGCAAGCCGAGCGGUAUUGUUUCUUCGGAAAUGAGAGAGCGGCGUACGGGUGCGUAACACGUGUGCAACCUGCCUUUAUCUGGGGGAUAGCCUUUCGAAAGGAAGAUUAAUACUCCAUAAUAUAUUGAACGGCAUCGUUUAAUAUUGAAAGCUCCGGCGGAUAGAGAUGGGCACGCGCAAGAUUAGCUAGUUGGUGAGGUAACGGCUCACCAAGGCGAGGAUCUUUAGGGGGCCUGAGAGGGUGAUCCCCCACACUGGUACUGAGACACGGACCAGACUCCUACGGGAGGCAGCAGUGAGGAAUAUUGGUCAAUGGGUGCAAGCCUGAACCAGCCAUCCCGCGUGAAGGACGACUGCCCUAUGGGUUGUAAACUUCUUUUGUAUAGGGAUAAACCUACCCUCGAGAGGGUAGCUGAAGGUACUAUACGAAUAAGCACCGGCUAACUCCGUG
rnacentral:rRNA from 1 species